rnacentral:tRNA from 1 species
GGUAUUGUGGCUCAGUGGUAGGGCGCUGCCUAGCAUGCAUGAGGCACUGGGUUCAUUCCUCAGCACUACAU